rnacentral:rRNA from 1 species
GUAACACGUAAAGAACCUGCCCUCAGGUCUGGGAUAACCACGAGAAAUCGGGGCUAAUACCGGAUGGGUCAUCGGACCGCAUGGUCCGAGGAUGAAAGGCGCUUCGGCGUCGCCUGGGGAUGGCUUUGCGGUGCAUUAGCUAGUUGGUGGGGUAAUGGCCCACCAAGGCGACGAUGCAUAGCCGACCUGAGAGGGUGAUCGGCCACACUGGGACUGAGACACGGCCCAGACUCCUACGGGAGGCAGCAGUAGGGAAUCUUCCACAAUGGACGAAAGUCUGAUGGAGCAACGCCGCGUGAACGAUGAAGGCCUUCGGGUCGUAAAGUUCUGUUGUAAGGGAAGAACAAGUGCCGCAGGCAAUGGCGGCACCUUGACGGUACCUUGCGAGAAAGCCACGGCUAACUACAUGCCAGCAGCCGCGGUAAUACGUAGGUGGCAAGCGUUGUCCGGAAUUAUUGGGCGUAAAGCGCGCGCAGGCGGCCUCUUAAGUCUGAUGUGAAAGCCCCCGGCUCAACCGGGGAGGGCCAUUGGAAACUGGGAGGCUUGAGUAUAGGAGAGAAGAGUGGAAUUCCACGUGUAGCGGUGAAAUGCGUAGAGAUGUGGAGGAACACCAGUGGCGAAGGCGACUCCUUGGCCUAUAACUGACGCUGAGGCG